UGAGUACGAGCGGCUACGGCCGCGAAGUGGAUGAUGUCAAGCUUCCAAGAAAAGCCCUAUACCCGUUAAGGCAUGAUGGCCUGUACCCGAAACCGACACAGGUGGGGUGGUAGAGAAUACCGAGGGGCGCGAGGUAACUCUCUCUAAGGAACUCGGCAAAAUGGCCCCGUAACUUCGGGAGAAGGGGUGCCACCGCGAGGUGGUCGCAGUGAAGAGGCCCAGGCGACUGUUUACCAAAAACACAGGUCUCCGCUAAGUCGCAAGACGAUGUAUGGGGGCUGACGCCUGCCCAGUGCCGGAAGGUUAAGGAAGCUGGUCAGCGCAAGCGAAGCUGGCGACUGAAGCCCCGGUGAACGGCGGCCGUAACUAUAACGGUCCUAAGGUAGCGAAAUUCCUUGUCGGGUAAGUUCCGACCCGCACGAAAGGCGUAACGAUCUGGGCGCUGUCUCGGAGAGAGGCUCGGCGAAAUAGAAUUGUCUGUGAAGAUGCGGACUACGUGCACCCGGACAGAAAGACCCUAUGAAGCUUUACUGUAGCUUGGUAUUGUGCUCGGGCUCGGAAUGCGCAGGAUAGGUGGGAGGCUUUGAUCCAUUGCUUGCGGGUGAUGGUGAGCCACUGGUGAGAUACCACUCUUUCCGAGCUAGAGUUCUAACAGCAACCCGUUAUCCGGGUGCUGGACAGUAUCAGGUGGGCAGUUUGACUGGGGCGGUCGCCUCCUAAAAGGUAACGGAGGCGCGCAAAGGUCUGCUCAGGCUGGUUGGAAAUCAGCCGACGAGUGUAAAAGCAGAAGCAGGCUUGACUGUGAGACCUACAAGUCGAACAGGGAGGAAACUCGGCUUUAGUGAUCCGACGGUUCUGCGUGGAAGGGCCGUCGCUCAACGGAUAAAAGUUACUCUAAGGAUAACAGGCUGAUCUCCCCCAAGAGUUCACAUCGACGGGGAGGUUUGGCACCUCGAUGUCGGCUCAUCGCAACCUGGGGCUGAAGUCGGUCCCAAGGGUUGGGCUGUUCGCCCAUUAAAGCGGUACGCGAGCUGGGUUCAGAACGUCGUGAGACAGUUCGGUCCAUAUCCGGUGCACGCGCAGGAAUAUUGAGAGGAUUUCUCCCUAGUACGAGAGGACCGGGAGGAACGCACCUCUGGUGUGCCAGUUAUCGUGCCAACGGUAAACGCUGGGUAGCCAUGUGCGGAGUGGAUAACCGCUGAAAGCAUCUAAGUGGGAAGCCCACCUCAAGAUGAGUAUUCCCAUGGCAUAAGCCAGUAAGGUCACGGGAAGAACACCCGUUGAUAGGCUCUACGUGGAAGCGCAGUAAUGUGUGAAGCGGAGGAGUACUAAUAGACCGAGGGCUUGAC
rnacentral:rRNA from 1 species